rnacentral:rRNA from 1 species
GACGAACGCUGGCGGCGUGCUUAACACAUGCAAGUCGAACGGAAAGGCCCUGCUUUUGUGGGGUGCUCGAGUGGCGAACGGGUGAGUAACACGUGAGUAACCUGCCCUUGACUUUGGGAUAACUUCAGGAAACAGGGGCUAAUACCGGGUAGGAUCUCCUGCUGCAUGGGGGGGGUUGGAGAGUGAGGGCGGUGGGGGAUGGACUCGCGGCUUAUCCGCUUGUUGGUGGGGUAGUGGCGUACCAAGGCUUUGAAGGGUAGCCGGCCUGAGAGGGUUACCGGCCACAUUGGGACUAAGAUAGGGCCCAGACUCCUACGGGAGGCAGCAGUGGGGAAUAUUGCACAAUGGGCGGAAGCCUGAUGCAGCAACGCCGCGUGCGGGAUGACGGCCUUCGGGUUGUAAACCGCUUUCGCCUGUGACGAAGCGUGAGUGACGGUAAUGGGUAAAGAAGCACCGGCUAACUACGUG